GAGGGUAUAGCUCAGUGGUAGAGCACAUGCUUAGCAUGCACAAGGGCCUGGGUUCAAUAUCUGAUACCUCCU
rnacentral:tRNA from 1 species